rnacentral:rRNA from 1 species
GAUGAACGCUGGCGGCGUGCCUAAUACAUGCAAGUCGAGCGAAGCGGGGACGGGUGAGUAACACGUGGAUAACCUCCUAUAAGACGGGGAUAACUUCGGGAAACCGGAGCUAAACCGGAUACGUAAAAAGGAAUCGGCGCUGCAUUAGCUAGUUGGUAAGGUAACGGCUUACCAAGGCAACGAUGCAUAGCCGACCUGAGAGGGUGAUCGGCCACACUGGAACUGAGACACGGUCCAGACUCCUACGGGAGGCAGCAGUAGGGAAUCUUCCGCAAUGGGCGAAAGCCUGACGCAGCAACGCCGCGUGAGUGAUGAAGGUCUUCGGAUCGUAAAGCUCUGUUAUUAGGGAAGCGGUACCUAAUCAGAAAGCCACGGCUAACUCCGUGCCAGCAGCCGCGGUAAUUC